CUGAAAAUCAUGGAAAAUGAGAAACAUCCACUUGACGACUUGAAAAAUGACGAAAUCACUAAAAUACGUGAAAAAUGAGAAAUGCACACUGAAGGACCUGGAAUAUGGAGAGAAAACUGAAAAUCACGGAAAAUGAGAAAUACACACUUUAGGACGUGAAAUAUGGCGAGGAAAACUGAAAAAGGUGGAAUAUUUAGAAAUGUCCACUGUAGGACGUGGAAUAUUGCAAGAAAACUGAAAAUCAUGGAAAAUGAGAAACAUCUACUUGACGACUUGAAAAAUGACGAAAUCACUAAAAAACGUGAAAAAUGUGAAAUGCACACUGAAGGACCUGGAAUAUGGCGAGAAACCUGAAAAUCACGGAAAAUGAGAAAUACACACUUUAGGACGUGAAAUAUGGCGAGGAAAACUGAAAAAGGUGGAAAAUUUAGAAAUGUCCACUGUAGGACGUGGAGUAUGGCAAGAAAACUGAAAAUCAUGGAAAAUGAGAAACAUCCACUUGACUACUUGAAAAAUGACGAAAUCACUAAAAAACGUGAAAAAUGAGAAAUGCACACUGAAGGACCUGGAAUAUGGCGAGGAAAAUUGAAAAAGGUGGAAUAUUUAGAAAUGUCCACUGUAGGACGUGAAAUAUGGC
rnacentral:lncRNA from 1 species